UGGGUGAUGAAGAGCAGGUGGCCUGAUUUGCAGAAAGCAGCACCUUCGCUGCCUCCUCUUCCUCCACGUGGCUGUUGGGCAGGCGAGGGCGAUUGCGUUCCCCUCCCGCGCCAUGCUGCCUGUCCGCCUGUGGGACCUGCUCCGUGGGCUUUUCAUCAGCUGCCAUUUUCACCAGCAUGCAGUAAUUUCAUGGCUCAUUGCAAGCGCUGAAAACCUUUGAAACUGCAAAUGUUAACUUUUGCCUGGCCCGAAGCCAUUUAGAAAGCGAUUAAUUCGGCAAACAGACGUGAGCCACUUUCUCCUCCCAAGUUUUCGCAUAAUUUUCCAACCCUUUCUAUCUGGGAUUUGCAUUGCAGGGAACUCAGAGGACAAGGAGAAUAACCACUGGUUUGGUGAAGAAACGAGGUCUGUCGCUCUACAGUCUGAUCCGCCCCGCUGUCCCAAUCCAGUCCAGAACAGAAAGAAUGGACAGAGAUUCAGAUCAAGAUCCAGAGAAAAUUGUGUACAAGGCUCUUUGAAGUUCAGGAUGGCAUGAAGGUCGAUGUGGCCAAGGUGCAAAAUCAUCAUGCCUGAGACCACACAGAUUGGGAUGAGAUAAAACUUCUAGUUGCGCUCAACACCAUUUCCAGAAAAGAAAGACAAGGAGAAGAAACUAAAACCAAACUUCAUCAGUCCUCGUGUGUAUCGCCAACAUUCCAGCUCCUGGAGAACAAAACACAAACUGAAGACGAGCUUCAAAAUGGAAGGAUAGAAAUCAGCAGUGAAAAGAGGAGAGGAUGAGAGCAAAGAAAACAAAGAGAUGGAAGAAUGACACAGAAAAGAAGGUAAGAAAAAGAGUACAUAGAGAAGAAGGUGUGGAGCAGAAGUGUGUUGCUGGGCAGAGGGCUGGCGCUGGCAGGGUGGAGAAGCGGGCACGCUCACAGACAUCUGCUGGCACGCUGCGGAUGCUGGAGGGGGCACGGUGCCAUGACCAGCGGCUACAUGGCACACUGAUAAUGCUGGAGCUAUACUCAGAUACACACUGUGUCUCUAUAGAACGCCACACACACAACACCAAUGAUAAAAUAAUCUCACACUAUCGACAUUAGCAAUGCAGGACACACGCUGAGGAUCCAAAAUAUCAUAAUUGGCAGCUUUCAGUUUUUAGUCUAGGCAAAAUACUUAUUAAGAGAAAUUAUCCUGCAGAGUAAAAGGAGGAUUUACCUACACUCCUAAAAAUAAAGGUUCUUUAUAGGCAUUGAUGGUUCCACGAAGAACCUUUAACAUAUUUCCAUUGCACAGAUAGAGAUGUUUUUAGUUUUUUAGAUUUUUUUAAUAUUCUGCACACUAGAAAUAAAAAAGAAUCUGUUCACUGAAUGGUUGUUUUUUGACAGUCACUGUUAAAAAUAUACAGUGUGUUUUCACAGUAAUGAUGUAGAAGAACCUUUUUUCCCCCAAAUAACAUUUCGAUGAUGAAAAGGAUCUUGAAAAUACAGGAAAAAUAUGAAUUGAUUAAUAAUUCAAACAAUACAAGAAAAUGUUACUCUUUAAAUAUUUAGUGUAGAUGGAUUUUAAAGUCAUGUCUAUGAUAUUAUUAUGAAAUAUUAUAUAUAAAACAUUUAAAAAAUACAUUUAAUAUUUUGCCAGACAUAUUUAGAAACAUGAUGUAUGUUAUGUUUACAUUAUUAAAAUGUCCUUCACACUAAGAAAAAUAAAAGGUUAUUUUAAGAACUGUCUUCUAUGGCAUUUACUCUUAAAGACAAAGGUUCCAAAGGAGUGUUUUGAGGUUGCAAAAACCUUUGGAACCUAAGAACCUUUAUUUUAAAAAGUGAAAU